rnacentral:rRNA from 1 species
GAGUUUGAUCCUGGCUCAGGAUCACGCUGGCGGCGUGCCUAAUGCAUGCAAGUCGAACGGGUUCUCCUUCGGGGGGAUCACGUGGCGGACGGGUGAGGAACACGUGGGCGACCUACCCUGGGGCGGGGGAUAGCCGCGAGAAAUCGUGGGUAAUUCCGCAUACGUUCCUGGUUCCGUGGGAACUGGGAAGAAAGGUGUGCUUCGGCACGCCACCCUUGGCGGGGCCUGCGGCCGAUUAGCUAGUUGGGGGGGUGACGGCUUCCCAAGGCGAUGAUCGGUAGCUGGUCUGAGAGGACGGCCAGCCACACGGGGACUGAGACACGGCCCCGACUCCUACGGGAGGCAGCAGCAAGGAAUCUUCCGCAAUGGGCGCAAGCCUGACGGAGCAACGCCGCGUGCGGGAUGACGCCUUUCGGGGUGUAAACCGCUUUUCUGGGGGAAGAAGGCUGGUGCAAGCCAGCUUGACGGUACCGCAGGAAGAAGGACCGGCUAACUACGUGCCAGCAGCCGCGGUAAUACGUAGGGUCCGAGCGUUGUCCGGAGUUACUGGGCGUAAAGCGCGCGCAGGCGGCGGCAUUGGCCCGGCGUGAAAGCCCCCGGCUCAACCGGGGAGGGUCGUCGGGGACCGUGCCGCUUGAGGGCAGCAGGGGUUGGUGGAAUGCCCGGUGUAGUGGUGAAAUGCGUAGAGAUCGGGCGGAACACCCGUGGCGAAGGCGGCCAACUGGGCUGACCCUGACGCUGAGGCACGAAGGCGUGGGGAGCGAACGGGAUUAGAUACCCCGGUAGUCCACGCAGUAAACGAUGCAGACUAGGCGUGGGGGGACUUGACCCCCUCCGUGCCGGAGCUAACGCGGGAAGUCUGCCGCUUGGGGAGUACGACAGCAAGGGUAAAACUCAAAGGAAUUGACGGGGGCCCGCACAAGCGGCGGAGCGUGCGGUUUAAUUCGACGCAACGCGCAAAACCUUACCGAGGCUUGACAUGUGACUCCAGACGUGGGAAACCACGGGGCCUUCGAGGGUGCCACACAGGUGCUGCAUGGCUGUCGUCAGCUCGUACCGUGAGGUGUUGGGUUAAGUCCAGCAACGAGAGCAACCCCCGCGUCUAGUUGAAGUGAUCUAGACGGACUGCCGGCCGCAAACCGGAGGAAGGUGGGGAUGAUGUCAAGUCAGCAUGGCCUGUACGCCUCGGGCCACACGCACGCUACAAUGGCCGGGACAGUGGGUAGCCAAGCCGCGAGGCGGAGCGAAUCCCCCAAACCCGGUCUCAGUUCGGAUCGCGGGCUGCAACUCGCCCCGCGUGAAGUCCGGAGUCAGCUAGUAACCAGCGGGUCAGCACUACACGCGGUGAAUAUGUUCCCGGGCCUUGUACACACCGCCCGUCA